AUAUGUAUGUGUUAUAUAUGUGAUUUUAAUUUUCCCGACAGAUGGAACUCUUCUAUGUUGAGGAAAGGAAUGUCAAUAUCAAAUGAGCUGCAAAUGUUUUCUGUGUGUGAAUGCUCAUGCUGCAAACAGAAGAAGUGCACAAAGGAUAAAAAGGAUUUUGAAUACCCAAAAUGUAAUCGGAAGACAACGCGCCUCUUUGAAAUUGAUCUUAUUGAUGGCACUGCUUUGGCCACAACAUCCAUUUCUGGUGUAUUGGGAGAAAAAUUAUUCUUCGUGACAGCAGAAAACAUAUUUGACAUAACUUGCAUUAAGAAGCAAUUGUUUCAUGUUAACCAUGUCCAUAAGAUGUUGUAGAAUAAACUAUUUCAAAUUCAGCUAAGGAACUCAUCUUUGGGCAACUCAAAUACCACACAUACAACUUUGUCAGUUCUUUCCUACGUUCAAAAGGAACAGACUCUUACGCCCAGCACUACUGAGAGGGAUUCCAAAAAGAUCAAGCCUCUAGGAAUCAGUGAGUAAAAAACAGAGUGUUGAUAUUAAAAGAAGAGGCUAGAGGAAGAGAAAAAAGGAUUGUAACGUAAGAUUUUAAGAUCGGUGAAGAUUUCUCCUUCAAGAUUCUACUUUUUUAUUCUAGAUCAACUGAACAACUAAUGUAAAGGUAAUUUCCUGUGAAGAUUCUGUUAGUGUGUUACGGAUAAGGCGGCACAAUGGAUAUUUUAUCUUUCCGUUUCUUCUGUUCUUCUGACAGUUGUUGCUCCAUGUAUUAGUUAUGGUUUCAGAUCAAUGCUGCAGUCUCACUCGGUAGUGACAUCCAUCAAUAGGAACUAAAUAGAAUGAACUAGCAAAGAUGGUAUGUUGGUUAUUCAAAUUUUGUUGUUGCCUCAACGUUCCAGAUAUGCAAAUAUGGAUUUUGAAGGCCGAGUACGACAUUUGUGGUCCAUCCAUUGUCCACAACAAAUGCGUCUAAGGCAUCUUGUAAGGAUCAUAUAGGCAGAUGCAAGCUCACUGUCUUAAAUUACUACGCUGUGAUGAGACCGAGAGAAGGCAAACAACAGAUCAAAUUGCAUCUAUGGUCCUUUUUACCCCCACAGCUCUCACUUCGAAUCUCCUUUAAACUCUUUCCCAUUUUAUUUUCUUUGACUGCUUCAAAUCUACUUCUGAUACUACUGUUUGGUUAAAUAUAUUUCGUACAAACAUGGUACUAAGAUUGAACAUCGACCGAAUAGAAUUAGCAACACGACAUUCGAUUUGCAAAAUUCAAAUUGUGGAAAUUGGACGCCCACGAGAAAGUCUUGACAAGAAAUGUAGAUUCCAAAUUUUCAUUUUGGAAGAUGAAGAGGAAUGCCAGAUUAAGGCACUUCUGUAUGCCGAUGAAAUUGAGCAGUAUGCAGUAUGAAAUUGACUAGCUUGAUUACUUCAGAGUUAGGAUAAUAUUUAUCACAAAGUAUCCAAAAAGCUUCUAUUGAUCAAAAGUUCAUGAUUUCUUUAAAGCUUCUCAUGCAAUAGGAGUUGUACACUACAUUACUGAUCAUUUAACAAUAGCAUUAAGACUACACUUACCAAUUCUUUAGUUGACAGAGGAUCCCAACAUAUAAUGUAUAAGUUCCACGGCAUAGCAUUUACUUUAACAAGGUUAUUCAGUAGAAAAACACCUCUAUCACUUUUAUUGUGAUUC